rnacentral:rRNA from 1 species
GAUGAACGCUGGCGGCGUGCCUAAUACAUGCAAGUCGAGCGAAUGGAUUGAGAGCUUGCUCUUAUGAAGUUAGCGGCGGACGGGCGAGUAACACGUGGGUAACCUGCCCAUAAGACUGGGAUAACUCCGGGAAACCGGGGCUAAUACCGGAUAACAUUUUGAACCGCAUGGUUCGGAAUUGAAAGGCGGCUUCGGCUGUCACUUAUGGAUGGACCCGCGUCGCAUUAGCUAGUUGGUGAGGUAACGGCUCACCAAGGCAACGAUGCGUAGCCGACCUGAGAGGGUGAUCGGCCACACUGGGACUGAGACACGGCCCAGACUCCUACGGGAGGCAGCAGUAGGGAAUCUUCCGCAAUGGACGAAAGUCUGACGGAGCAACGCCGCGUGAGUGAUGAAGGCUUUCGGGUCGUAAAACUCUGUUGUUAGGGAAGAACAAGUGCUAGUUGAAUAAGCUGGCACCUUGACGGUACCUAACCAGAAAGCCACGGCUAACUACGUGCCAGCCGCCGCGGUAA